CUCUACUAAAAAUGGCGUGUCGUAAUUUCGCAUUGACAUUGUUCACCAUUUGUUUGCGAGUUUAUUUGGAAUAAAUUGUCAAUCAAUCCUGAAAAUUAUUUCUUCAAUUGAAAGAUCGUAGUUAAAAUCAGUUCUUGUUCUUUUGCGGGAAAACAGGUGUUUAACUUGGCGAAUGAGGGUGAAUCAGGCGAAAACACUGUUGUUAGCUAUGUGCACCACUACCUUCACCACUAUGGCCUAGGGGAGGAAGAGGCAGUUUUCCACUUUAACGACUGUGCUGGACAAAAUAACAACAACUGUGUACUUUUGUAUGAAUUGUGGAGAGUUAUUGUUGACUUUGCGAUGCAGAGACCAUCGAGGCAGUUGCUGAGACUUUAUCCACCUCCUCAAGGGCUGGACAAAAUGUGCCGCACAUGGUUGGAGAUUUGGAGAAGCCUGUGCACUUCUGCAAUUUGGAAAACUUUUCUUGCCCAGUUGUUCAAACCCUUGAAGAACAUUUCAAAGUACCAACAUUUUCUCAUUGAUGCUGGUAAACCAGGCUGGGUAUUUUGUAAAACACGUGACAAAUCUACAGUUGAAACUCACUGUUUGUUAAAGAGUGCUGGCCUCUUACCAUCAAUGUCUAGCCAGUCUUGCCCAGCUCGAAUUAAAGAACCUGGACUCAGUAUCGCCCGACAAUGGUACCUUUAUUAGGAAAUAGGGCUGUUUUUUAAAUCAGACCUCAGUAGACAAGCUACCUGUCCCGAUCCGAAGUAAAAAAACAACAAAAACUGUCUGUGUAACUCAGAAGUUGCAAAAAACAUGUGCCCUGUCCUAUCUUUAUGUUUGUUUACGUUUGAAAAUUGUAUGAUCCUGUUUGUCAAAUAGCUUUAGAUUAUUUGUAUUGCUUACCAAGUUAUAUGUUAUUGUUUACCAUAUAAACAGUUCAUUGGUGAACUUUUCAUAAAAUUUAAAUCUUUAAUUGGCCUGUGGCAUGGUAUUUUCUAAAUUGAAACUUAUGUUGUGAUGCUUAACUGCAUAUUAAAAUAUAAUUUUUAAACAAUGAACAUCAUUCAAAGUAAAAAAAACACUUUAAUUAUAGAUGAGAUGUAUGCCACAGCAAACCAGCAUUUUUAAAAAUCGCGUUGCAGGCUUGGGAUUGUCGAGGUGCUACAUGUAGGAAAUCUAG